UGCUUAACACAUGCAAGUCGAACGGGCUCUUCGGAGCUAGUGGCGGACGGGUGAGUAACGCGUGAGAAUCUGCCUUCAGGAUGGGGACAACAGUUGGAAACGACUGCUAAAACCCGAUGUGCCGAAAGGUGAAAAAUUUAUUGCCUGAAGAUGAGCUCGCGUCUGAUUAGCUAGAUGGUGGGGUAAUGGCCUACCAUGGCGACGAUCAGUAGCUGGUCUGAGAGGAUGAUCAGCCACACUGGGACUGAGACACGGCCCAGACUCCUACGGGAGGCAGCAGUGGGGAAUUUUCCGCAAUGGGCGCAAGCCUGACGGAGCAAUACCGCGUGAGGGAGGUUCACUCUUGGGUUGUAAACCUC
rnacentral:rRNA from 1 species